UAAGCACAUGCCUUAAAACGGUGAAGCCGCGAAUAGCUCAUUACAACAGCCAUCGUUUAUUAGAAUAUCGUUAUCCUACUUGGAUAACUGUGGCAAUUCUAGAGCUAAUACAUGCAAUAAAGCUCUGCCCGCAAGGAACGAGCGCAUUUAUUAGAAUAAAAACCAAUCGGGUUUCGGCCCGUAAUUUGGUGAAUCUGAAUAACUUUGCCAAUCGCACAGUCCUAGUACUGGCGAUGUAUCUUUCAAGUGUCUGCCUUAUCAACUUUCGAUGGUACGCUAUACGCCUACCAUGGUAGUAACGGGUAACGGAGAAUAAGGGUUCGACUCCGGAGAGGGAGCCUGAGAAACGGCUACCACAUCCAAGGAAGGCAGCAGGCGCGCAAAUUACCCACUUCCAGAACGGAGAGGUAGUGACGAAAAAUAACGAGACAGUCCUCUUCGAGGUCUGUCAUCGGAAUGGGUACAAUUUAAAUC
rnacentral:rRNA from 1 species